UGUGGCUGGGAGUGACGUGUACAGAUCUGUGGUUAGGGACUGGGAAGGGCACAGGGCCUGAUCAGGCCCUGCAGGUGGCAUGAGCCCAGGGCUGGCCUAUCGCAGGCCCCAGACGUACCCUGCAGGGGGUCUGCUGGGCAAUGAGGGCAGGUGGCCAGGAGCUCGUCACCAGAAUCCUCCCACCUGGGUUUCCUCCCCCCGGACCAGACAUACUCAGAGAUGCCUCCUCCGAGGCCCCAGGUCCCUCCUCUGUCCUCAGAAAAAGCCUCUCUCAACCUGGGAGGGGGAAGGGCAAACAAAGACAGAUUGAGAGUGGGGGAGAGGCUGAGCCUGCGCACCCAGCACGGCCAGGGGCUGCUACCAGGGCCCAGGGUGGGGGACGGCUCUGAUUCAGGGUGAGACUGGGCUCUUCCGCUGACCGGCCUGUGACCCAUAGGAUCUCCUGGUUCCUGUCCUCAAAUGCGGAUGAGUGUGUCAAUGCCACCCCCACAGCUUACUGACAGAUUGACGAGAUGCCACCUGUAAUGCCAGUGCAUAACCACGCACUGACCGCCCGCCUUCCCACUCAGCCCACCUCCUGUUUGGCGGCUGGGACGGAGCUAGGACGUUGCAUGAAUCUUCCCAGCCCCUGCUCAGCGUCUCUUGACCUCUGCUCCAGGCAGCCAGUGCCAGGGAGCCCGUCAGGCCCAACUGGGCAAACAAGAUCCUCAGCGUGGGUGCAACAUGCCGCUUGGCAAUGCUUGCUGGGACACGAGGGUGCCAGGGGCCUGGGACAGCCAGGCCCAUUCUGGACUCAGUUUUCUCAUCUGUAAAAUGGCCAGGAUGUUCUCCAGGGCCCCGUAGCUCUGACCUGGGUUGGCUGUGCCAGCACCGCCCGUGUGGCCCCUCCUGGGUCCGGCCCAUGGCUCUGCCAGC
rnacentral:lncRNA from 1 species